rnacentral:rRNA from 1 species
GACGAACGCUGGCGGCGUGCUUAACACAUGCAAGUCGAACGGUGAACCUCUUCGGAGGGGAUCAGUGGCGAACGGGUGAGUAACACGUGGCCAACCUGCCCCCGGCUCUGGGAUAACUCCAAGAAAUUGGGGCUAAUACCGGAUGUUCACCGCUUCCCGCAUGGGUGGUGGUGGUAAGGGUUUCCGGCUGGGGGUGGGCCCGCGGCCUAUCAGCUUGUUGGUGGGGUAGUGGCCUUCCAAGGCGACGACGGGUAGCCGGCCUGAGAGGGUGACCGGCCACACUGGGACUGAGACACGGACCAGACUCCUACGGGGGGCAGCAGUGGGGAAUAUUGCGCAAUGGGCGGAAGCCUGACGCAGCGACGCCGCGUGGGGGAUGACGGCCUUCGGGUUGUAAACCUCUUUCAGCAGGGACGAAGCGCAAGUGACGGUACCUGCAGAAGAAGCACCGGCCAACUACGUG